UACGGGGGGGGCAAGCGUUGUUCGGAAUUACUGGGCGUAAAGGGUUUGUAGGUGGCCGGCUAAGUCAGACGUGAAAUCCCUCAGCUUAACUGGGGAACUGCGUCUGAAACUGAUCGGCUCGAGUGCAGGAGAGGAACGCGGAAUUCCAGGUGUAGCGGUGAAAUGCGUAGAUAUCUGGAGGAACACCGGUGGCGAAGGCGGCAUUCUGGACCGACAUUGACGCUGAGGAGCGAAAGCCAGGGGAGCAAACGGG
rnacentral:rRNA from 1 species